rnacentral:rRNA from 1 species
CUUGACUAGAGUGGGUGGCGAGUGGACGGAACGGUGAAGUAACGCGUAGGAAUAUGUCCUUGAAGGUGGGGAUAACGUUGGGGAAACUCAAGCUAAUACCGCAUAAGCUCUAAGGAGGAAAGCUGGGGACCGUAAGGCCUGGCGCUUCAAGAUUAGCCUGCGUCCGAUUAGCUAGUUGGUGGGUAAGGGCCUACCAAGGCCGACGAUCGGUAGCUGGUCUGAGAGGAUGGCCAGCCACACUGGGACUGAGACACGGCCCAGACUCCUACGGGAGGCAGCAGUGGGGAAUAUUGGACAAUGGGGGCAACCCUGAUCCAGCAAUGCCGCGUGUGUGAAGAAGGCCUGAGGGUUGUAAAGCACUUUCAGUGGGGAGGAGGAUUGACAGGUUAAGAGCUAGUUAAUUGGACGUUACCCACAGAAGAAGCACCGGCUAACUCCGUG